rnacentral:rRNA from 1 species
ACGCAAUAGAUACCCCGGUAGUCCACGCCCUAAACGAUGUCUACUAGUUGUCGGGUCUUAAUUGACUUGGUAAACGCAGCUAAACGCGUGAAGUAGACCGCCUGGGGAGUACGGUCGCAAGAUUAAAACUCAAAGGAAUUGACGGGGACCCGGCACAAGCGGUGGAUGAUGUGGAUUAAUUCGAUGCAACGCGAAAAACCUUACCUACCCUUGACAUGGAAGGAAUCCCUGAGAGAUCGGGGAGUGCUCGAAAGAGAACCUUUACACAGGUGCUGCAUGGCUGUCGUCAGCUCGUGUCGUGAGAUGUUGGGUUAAGUCCCGCAACGAGCGCAACCCUUGUCAUUAGUUGCUACGAAAGGGCACUCUAAUGAGACUGCCGGUGACAAACCGGAGGAAGGUGGGGAUGACGUCAAGUCCUCAUGGCCCUUAUGGGUAGGGCUUCACAC